rnacentral:rRNA from 1 species
AUAAAUACCGCAUAAGCCCACGGCUCGGCAUCGAGCAGAGGGAAAAGGAGCAAUCCGCUUUGAGAUGGCCUCGCGUCCGAUUAGCUAGUUGGGGAGGUAACGGCCCACCAAGGCGACGAUCGGUAGCCGGACUGAGAGGUUGAACGGCCACAUUGGGACUGAGACACGGCCCAGACUCCUACGGGAGGCAGCAGUGGGGAAUAUUGCACAAUGGGGGAAACCCUGAUGCAGCGACGCCGCGUGGAGGAAGAAGGUCUUCGGAUUGUAAACUCCUGUUGUUGAGGAAGAUAAUGACGGUACUCAACAAGGAAGUGACGGCUAACUACGUGCCAGCAGCCGCGGUAAAACGUAGGUCACAAGCGUUGUCCGGAAUUACUGGGUGUAAAGGGAGCGCAGGCGGGAAGACAAGUUGGAAGUGAAAUCCAUGGGCUCAACCCAUGAACUGCUUUCAAAACUGUUUUUCUUGAGUAGUGCAGAGGUAGGCGGAAUUCCCGGUGUAGCGGUGGAAUGCGUAGAUAUCGGGAGGAACACCAGUGGCGAAGGCGGCCUACUGGGCACCAACUGACGCUGAGGCUCGAAAGUGUGGGUAGCAAACAGGAUUAGAUACCCUGGUAGUCCACACUGUAAACGAUGAUUACUAGGUGUUGGAGGAUUGACCCCUUCAGUGCCGCAGUUAACACAAUAAGUAAUCCACCUGGGGAGUACGACCGCAAGGUUGAAACUCAAAGGAAUUGACGGGGGCCCGCACAAGCAGUGGAGUAUGUGGUUUAAUUCGACGCAACGCGAAGAACCUUACCAAGUCUUGACAUCCCUUGACGAUGCUGGAAACAGUAUUUCUCUUCGGAGCAAGGAGACAGGUGGUGCAUGGUUGUCGUCAGCUCGUGUCGUGAGAUGUUGGGUUAAGUCCCGCAACGGGCGCAACCCUUAUGGUCAGUUACUACGCAAGAGGACUCUGGCCAGACUGCCGUUGACAAAACGGAGGAAGGUGGGGAUGACGUCAAAUCAUCAUGCCCUUUAUGACUUGGGCUACACACGUACUACAAUGGCGUUAAACAAAGAGAAGCAAGACCGCGAGGUGGAGCAAAACUCAGAAACAACGUCCCAGUUCGGACUGCAGGCUGCAACUCGCCUGCACGAAGUCGGAAUUGCUAGUAAUCGCAGAUCAGCAUGCUGCGGUGAAUACGUUCCCGGGCCUUGUACACACCGCCCGUCACACCAUGAGAGCCGGGGGGACCCGAAGUCGGUAGUCUAACCGCAAGGAGGACGCCGCCGAAGGUAAAACUGGUGAUUGGGGUGAAGUCGUAACAAGGUA